GGAUGAGGCCAACAAAGUGAUAGUAUCGAGCCACUCAAAUCGGUCAAAAUGAUCAAUUUCAUCAUAUCAAGAAAUAAGUAUCCAAUUAGAAUAAGUGUAAUAGAUCAGGUUAUCAAUGGUGGAGUCCCAGGGCCAACGGGGAUCAGGGUGAAGACUGGCAUGAUGGAUGAUCGCAACAACACCAGUUCAGGAUCCUAUAGUGGGGUCAAUCUUGAGGUCCACAAGAAAACAAUAGGGACCCUCCACUGGAUCCAUAGAUCCAUGUAGAGAUAGAUAAAAAGAGGAAGAGACGAGAGAAAAAGAGAAGACAAGACGAAAUAUAAAUAAGAAAUAGAGGAAGGAAGUAGGCUUCAUUACCUCUCGGCUCUCAUUGGAAGGAGGAAGAG
rnacentral:lncRNA from 1 species